AACGAACGCUGGCGGCGUGCCUUAAGCAUGCAAGUCGAACGGCAAGACAGGAGUUUUCUUCUCUGCUAGAGUGGCGGACUGGUGAGGAACACGUGGGUAAUCUACCCUUAAGAUGGGGAUAACUGCUAGAAACAGCAGGUAAUACCGAAUACACUCGCCUUAUCCACAGUGGUGUUGAGGAAAUUAAGCUACGUCUUCGCUUGAUCACGAGCUUGCGUCGCAUUAGCUAGUUGGUGAGUUAAAGGCCCACCGAGGCGACGAUGGGUAUACGGACUGAGAGGGUGAUCGGACACAUUGGAACUGAGACACGGCCCAGACUCCUACGGGAGGCAGCAGCAGCGAAUAUUCCGCAAUGGGCGGAAGUAUGACGGAGCGACGCCGAGUGUGUGAAGAAGGCGGAAGGAUUGUAAAAUCCUGUUUUGGGUGAAGAACAGAUGUGGGAGGUAAUGCGCAUCUAAUGACGGUAAUCGAUAAAUAAGCCCCGGCUAACUACGUG
rnacentral:rRNA from 1 species